rnacentral:rRNA from 1 species
AAUCAACGCUGGCGGCGUGCCUCAGACAUGCAAGUCGAACGAUUAAACUUUCCUUCGGGAAAGAUAUAAAGUGGCGCACGGGUGAGUAACACGUAGGUAAUGUGCCUUUGGGUGGGGAAUAACUUAGGGAAACUUAAGCUAAUACCGCAUAAUGCAGCGGCUCCUUCGGGAGACAGUUGUUAAAGAUUUAUCGCCUAAAGAGCAGCCUGCGGCAGAUUAGCUAGUUGGUAAGGUAACGGCUUACCAAGGCUACGAUCUGUAUCCGACCUGAGAGGGUGGUCGGACACACUGACACUGAAUAACGGGUCAGACUCCUACGGGAGGCAGCAGUCGGGAAUUUUGGGCAAUGGGCGAAAGCCUGACCCAGCAACGCCGCGUGAAGGAUGAAGUCUUUCGGGAUGUAAACUUCGUAAGAAUAGGAAGAAUAAAUGACGGUACUAUUUGUAGGGUCCGGCUAACUACGUGCCAGCAGCCGC